rnacentral:rRNA from 1 species
UACAGAGGUCCCAAGCGUUGUUCGGAUUCAUUGGGCGUAAAGAGCUCGUAGGCGGCUUGGUAAGUCGGAUGUGAAACCUCCAGGCUCAGCCUGGGGUCGCCAUCCGAUACUGCCAUGGCUAGAGUCCGGUAGGGGCCCACGGAAUUCCUGGUGUAGCGGUGAAAUGCGCAGAUAUCAGGAGGAACACCAAUGGCGAAGGCAGCUCGCUGGGACGGUACUGACGCUGAGACGCGAAAGCGUGGGGAGCAAACAGG